AGUCGUACGAGAUCUUCGGAUCUAGUGGCAGACGGGUGCGUAACGCGUGGGAACCUGCCCUUUAGUAAGGAAUAACUCAGGGAAACUUGUGCUAAUACCUUAUAAUCCCUUCGGGGGAAAGCUUUAUGCGCUAAUGGAUGGGCCCGCGUUAGAUUAGCUUGUUGGUGAGGUAAUGGCUCACCAAGGCGACGAUCUAUAGCUGGUCUGAGAGGAUGAUCAGCCACACUGGGACUGAGACACGGCCCAGACUCCUACGGGAGGCAGCAGUGGGGAAUAUUGGACAAUGGGGGCAACCCUGAUCCAGCGAUGCCGCGUGAGUGAUGAAGGCCUUAGGGUUGUAAAACUCUUUCGCUAGGGAAGAUAAUGACGGUACCUAGUAAAGAAGAUCCGGCUAACUCCGUGCCAGCAGCCGCGGUAAUACGGAGGGAUCUAGCGUUAUUCGGAAUAACUGGGCGUAAAGCGAGCGUAGGCGGAUUUGUAAGUUGGAGGUGAAAUCCCAGGGCUUAACCCUGGAACUGCCUUCAAAACUACAUUUCUUGAGUUUGGUAGAGGAGAGUGGAAUUCCUAGUGUAGAGGUGAAAUUCGUAGAUAUUAGGAGGAACACCAGUGGCGAAGGCGACUCUCUGGGCCAAUACUGACGCUGAGGUUCGAAAGCGUGGGGAGCAAACGGGAUUAGAUACCCCGGUAGUCCACGCAGUAAACGAUGAGUGCUAGAUGUUGGGAACAUUAGUUUUC
rnacentral:rRNA from 1 species